rnacentral:lncRNA from 1 species
GGUUUAGGUCACCAAUAGAACAAGAAAUUUCUCAACCUGAAAACUCCCAAUUUUCUGUGUCAUUUGAUAAUUUUGAAAAAGUUGAAUUCUUUGAAACAUAAUAGGCAUUGGAUUCUCCUACACCCUCAGACUCAAACACUAUUUUUGCUCAGCUAUUUGGUGAAAAAACUUUGAUGAAAAGAGUUGAUCUUUCCUCUAGUGAGAACUGGGUAACUGAGAACUUACUCUUGCUUGUAUAUGACACCAAAGAAAGAUUAGUUGGAGUGGAACGGGAUGUAUGUGAAUGAUAAAGUAAAUGGGGGAAAAUAUAU